UGCUAUGAUGUUGUAAUUUGCGUCUUACUCCUCACUUGGCGACAGUUGCCUGCUGUCAAAAUGUCGGUGUAGGACGGCUGAUGUAAACUUUAUUUCUGAGCA